GCCGAGGUGGUGGAAUUGGUAGACACGCUAUCUUGAGGGGGUAGUGCCCUAGUGGUGUGCGGGUUCGAGUCCCGCCCUCGGCACCA
rnacentral:tRNA from 1 species